rnacentral:rRNA from 1 species
UACGGGGGGGGCAAGCGUUGUUCGGAAUUACUGGGCGUAAAGGGUUCGUAGGUGGCCAACUAAGUCAGACGUGAAAUCCCUCAGCUCAACUGGGGAACUGCGUCUGAUACUGAUUGGCUUGAGUGCAGGAGAGGAACGCGGAAUUCCAGGUGUAGCGGUGAAAUGCGUAGAUAUCUGGAGGAACACCGGUGGCGAAGGCGGCGUUCUGGACUGCAACUGACACUGAGGAACGAAAGCCAGGGGAGCAAACGGG